rfam:Magnaporthe oryzae 70-15 chromosome 3, whole genome shotgun sequence.
GGUCCGGUGGCUCAAUGGUAGAGCGUCUGACUACGAGUCCAUCUGGUCAUCAGGAGGUUGCAGGUUCGAGACCUGCCCGGAUCG